AGGUGCGAUCAUACCAACACUAAUGCACCGGAUCCCAUCAGAACUCCGCUGCUAAGCGUGCUUGGACGAGAGUAGUACUAGGAUGGGUGACCUCUUCGGAAGUCCUCGUGUUGCACUUC
rnacentral:rRNA from 1 species